rnacentral:lncRNA from 1 species
GUUAGCCUCAACUUUAUCUUCCUCAUUUCUGUUUCCCCUUCAUGACAACAAGAGUCCUUCAGAACAUGUGACCUUCCUGCUCACAACAUAAAACUCAGCUUUCUGUGGCCUCUAUACUUCGGCUCAGUCCCUAUAUCCCAUCCAAGACAAAGGCACCACUUCAAUGACAGGUGUGAACUGGAACAUCAAGAAUGAAAAUGAAACAGGCCCAUAUCCAGCUUAAGGACUGACUCACCCAUCAAUCCUGGAGAAAAGUAUUUGUAAUAAUCUUUUCAGUCAGUGCCCUAGCCCCUUUCAUAGCUCUUUUCUAGUCUUCUUGGGGGUAUAUUAGGUCAGACAGGGCAAAUGAGAGGCUAUGGAUAACUCUAAAGUGUCCAUCCCUUCUUACAGCAGGUGAUAAACAGAUGGUGACAGGAAAACCCAAACCAAUAGUCCAUUACUCCAUUCUCUUUUAAUCACUCUUCUUGGCUUUUACUAGCUCCAGAGUUUGAAAUAAAGUUUCUUUAAGGACUCUUAGAAAAAGCUUUAGAAAUUUCAUACAACAAUUUUCAAUUACCUUGAGAUAUAAGACUUCUGACUCCAUUUCUAGAGAUGGUAAUUGAAGCCUAAAAAAUGUAUUCCACCUGCCAUUGGCUAGGCAUGUUUUAGUAUCCAAUUUUGCCUGUUUUUGUCCACUGGGUUACAUGUGGUAGCCAUGAUAGUUGUUUGGAAGAAAGAAAUGCUUCGGGAAGAUGUAGGCUGGAUUGGGAGACAGGGAGUAGAAAAUGUAAUUUUGAUCUUUAGCUUUAAUAUUACCCCAAAUUAUCAAAUUGGAGCUAUGUGUUAACCAGUUACAUUCAAUCAAGAGUUUAGGAAAAACAAAUGCAUAUUCGUCCUGAAAUACUGUACAGAGAAUCAUUUCCAUUCCUAGUAAUUUUGGGAUUUAUCAAACUUUUGGUAUCAGUGUUUGAUACAUACCAUCUAUUUUUAAACCUACAUUUAGACCAGGGUAGGACAAAAUUUGAUACUGUCAACCAUUUUGAGUAACAGGAUCAUGAUGCUAAACAAAAUAUAAAAUAAAUUGAGAUGGCUUGGCUCUUCUGGCUGCAUCACUGCCCCGGUAGCUACAAGUUCAAACAUCCUAAUGCUGCCCUGCAAAAGCCACUGCCUGGUUUGCUCUUUGUUGCUGUUCUUCUCCCUUUUUUGCAGGGGAAUAGAAAAAGCAGACAAGAAAGAGUGGUGGGGUGGACAGCCAAGGGACACAGUGAGCUGAUGGAUGAUAUAACUCCCAAACUGUAAACAACUUAUUUUAUGACCUUUUGCAAGACUUUCCCUAAACAUUAGAGUUCAUUUUCUCAUUUAUAAUCUUGAAUGGGUAAAACUAGAUGACGUGUAAGGGCAUUUUAAUACUAUUAAUUCUUUACUAUUUAUGAGAAAGGGCAACCAAGCUAGACAAAACUGACUAAGGCCACAAGAAAUUACUGUUUUGAUUCUGUAAAAUAAAUUAUCAAUCUUUUUCCCUGUUAGUAUCUAUUUUAUUUAAUUUUUAUUUUAAAACACAUUUUAGUCACUUUUCUCUAUGUACAGGGGAUCAAGUACAGAGUUCUAUAUAUGUUAGGUAAGUGUUCUGCUACUGAGUUUUAUCCAUAGACCUUGAUAUUUGUUUGUUUGUUUGUUUGAGAAAGGAUUACAUUACAUGGCCCAGAUUGGCUUUAAACCUGAGGUUCUCUUACUUCUGUCUGUGAAAGCUUAUAUUCACAUAUCUACAAUACCUGGCUAUAGCCACAAAUUUUGAGCAUUUGUUAGGUAACAAAUACUAAAUUAAUAGUUUUAUAGGCAUUAUCACAUAUUUUCAUCAUGAUAUUACACACAUUUUUGUGGCUAUAAAAACUAGGUUUCAGGGACUCACUUAUUUAAGGUGUUCAGCUAGUUAAUGGUGGAGAUAGAAUUAAAGUCCAGUUUUUAAAAUCAACAUCUAGGUACAAAACCAGGAUGAACAUAGCAUAAAAGAAAUUAAUAGUAGGAAGGAACACAGACAUUGUCUCUGAGGCUUUUUCACAUCAUGGAGGCAGAAUGAUGACAAAAUUGUCCUGUUUCAACUAAAUAGAAGAGUUAAUUGAGGCUUGGGUCACCAGAAUUUUCAGACAAACACUCAGAAUCCCGGUUUUGGUUUUGCACUUUAGCCUGUUUUGGUGUCUUAGCCAGUCAUGUUAGUGUCUGCCAUUUGUCUCACUCCCAGAGUAAGGUAUAAUCAGCCCAUUUUUUUUCCUUUCAGGUGCAUAUCUUCCAGCAUGUUCUUGCUGCUCAUCCAAGGCUCCUGAUCUGGCCUUCUGCAGUGUUACGCUCCGUGUAUUUGACAAGCUGAGUUGGACACUCUGUGUGGUAGAGUGUCAGUUUGUCAAAUACCCCAAGUGUGGCUCAUGCUUAUCAGCUCCAGGUCCAGGACUGAGCAGAUAGCCUGCUGUCUUCAUAUGAGUGCUUAUGAAACAUGAAGCUCUCUGGAGUUAUUCUAUGGCUUUUUGAGGGAACUAUAGCAAUCCUUCAGAGGACAUGAAAAUAGGAACAAUGAAACUCUGGGGCCUCUAAGCCUAGUAUGCAUCAUGUACAUUGUGAAAAAUGCCGUGGACUGCACAAUGGUCUUGAGAAUACAUAAGGGAUACUGGGAAUAAGAGUAUUAUUUGAUUUGUUAAUAAUGUCUUUUUUCACAUUCCUCUUCUUGCAGCCGGGACAGCAGAAUUUUCAUACAAGCAUCAUGAAUUCUAUGAGAACAUAGGAAAUAAAUAUCCACUGUCUGACCUUCGGAGCACAUCUUACUCUUACCUACAUUUUCUUUUUUCCUCUUUGCUUUUAUCCUCCUUAAUUCUUGUCCCUGGACUUUCAGACCCCAUGAAAUUCCAGUUUCUCUUGGCAAUAUCGAAAGUUAACCUGUACUUUUCUUUACUCCUUGAAUAAACACAUACUGGCAUGUGAUCUUAUAUGCCCUGCCACCCAAUAUAUCCUCUAAAGUUGUCAGUGAAUUUUUCCAGGGUAUGUUCUUGAAUACCCUAUUAUAUUGUAAGAGUCUAGAGCUUAUUAUACUGGCUUGAUUGCUGUUUCUCUUAUUGUUCAACAUUUUAAUUGUUUAAUAAAUGUUUACCAAUUAAUUGAUAUUUUACUAGUCCAUUACCUUUAGGUAUGUAGGUCAAAUACCAACCAGGGUUUUGUGAAAAAAAAUCUAACUGUGGCUAGUCCUAUGCUAUAGUGUAUACAAGGUGGUAACCAAAAGGGAUUUAUAUUUUCACUGUGAAAUAAGAUUUAGGUCUGGGGCAAGAGAGCAAAAAGAAAAAAAAAUAGAUUCAGAGGGAAAUAAAUUUUGUAGUUAUUAUUUUUUUUAACACAGGUCUUUUAAAACAGAAUUUUCUAAACUUUUAAUAUUCUAAUGCUGCACUGGGGUACACUUCUAAUGUAGAGCUAUAGAAUGACCUCCAAUAUCUCUCUUCAGAGUCUAAACAUUUCAUAACAUAUAUUUUGGCAAGCUUCGCUAGAGAAAUUCCACACCCUCCCCGUGUUCUGGAGAUACCUACUCUCAUUCUUUAACUUUUCACCCACCAACCGGUGACUUAAAUAACAAGACCUAUAUUGUUACCCCAUUUUUGCUCAGAAUCAUCAGAGGGUCACAUCUCUAUCUAGGGAUGACUUACUGGCGUACCCUCAUGGAAAACACCAUACUGUAGGGCAAAGACCAUCUUUGGAAGAUCUCUGCAGCAAAGUAUGCUCACUGCUAAAAAUACACGGGUCUGACUUCCAGUCUUUGUUCUGCCAUUGAAUUGAUAUAUGUUACUUUUGACAAGCCAUCAUUUCUCUCUAGGCUUCAUUUCCCAAUUUGUGGUAUGUGAUUGUUCAGAUAAGUAAUCUGUAAACAUUUUCACAUGCAAAAAUAGGGACCUUCUUGGUGGUUCCAGUGUUGGGGGUUCCCUGAAUUUGUGAACCACUUUACUAGGGCAAUUUCAAUAAACAUUCUGUCCUCAAGCCUUGUAGGGUUAGACUCAGCGCUGUUUCAUGAAGGAAGCUGAGGUUUCUACUGGGCGGGAACCAUGUUGUGGAGGUUUGUAAGUGAGACGGAGAAGAAGAAGCGGUCUCUGUCACUAAUCAUGUGUAGUUAGAAUUUGUCACAGAAGAAAAUGCUGAGGUUUUGAUCACGGACUUAGCAGUGUACGUGGAGGUGAAAGAAGAAGGACUGUCAAUCACUUUGGUCUACUAUUUUGACUUUUGCCGUCACCUCAAAGUGGGGAGUACAUCUUGUUGAAACCUGAUCUGAUCCUGUGCGUAUACAAAAUAUCUAGGCACCAUGGUAAUCCUCAUGAAAAGUAAGGAAGUUGAUAUGGAAUACAUGGGGCAAAGGAAGCAAUGCAAACCUCGUCCCAAACAAUUUCUUUACAAGGGGGCUUCAUUCCAAAGUACAGAAAGUGUUCCUUCUUUCCUUUUCCCUUCCUCCUUAUUCCCUUCCCUUUCCUUCAUCCAUGCCCCCCCCCCCGAUUCCCUCAACUAACAACAUAAAAAAAAGAAUCUGCUAUUCUUAUGCCUCCUAACAUUGUAAAAAGAAUUGAGGAAUUAGAGAAGAUGACCAAUGCAACUAACCCAAAUAUUUUAGUGGUGGUAUGCACAGACUUUGAAAAGGCAGAAACUGCUUCAUACGUACAUUCAUAGUGCUUUGAAAAACAAGUGAGGCUUGACAAAAUUCCUGUUGCUCUGAGAAGAGUGACAAAGUAGAGCUGAAAGAAAGAUGGAGUGGGGAUGGACAUUAUGUAGAAUACUGUUUAAGCAAAAGAUGAUUGACUUUAGACAGGGCUAUCCGUGGAAUGAGAAGGGAAGUGGCAUGAGUUGGUAGGUGAAAGACCAACCAAGAAACAGACAACAACAAAAACCAAAGCUUGCCUUAGUGCUACAGAUCUAUUUAUUAUUCUAAUUACUUGGGGAUAUGAGGAAUGUGGCAAGUUCAAAGCCUACCUACUUUAGAGGAUGAAUAAAGGUAAGCCUGGAU